rnacentral:rRNA from 1 species
UACGAAGGGGGCUAGCGUUGCUCGGAAUCACUGGGCGUAAAGGGCGCGUAGGCGGCCAUUUAAGUCGGGGGUGAAAGCCUGUGGCUCAACCACAGAAUUGCCUUCGAUACUGGAUGGCUUGAGUUCGGUAGAGGUUGGUGGAACUGCGAGUGUAGAGGUGAAAUUCGUAGAUAUUGGGAAGAACACCGGUGGCGAAGGCGGCUCACUGGCUCGUAUCUGACGCUCAGGCGCGACAGCGUGGGGAUCAAACAGG